AGACGUAGGACGCAAGCGUUAUCCGGAUUUACUGGGCGUAAAGCGUCUGUAGGCGGAUGAGUAAUUUGGGCGUGAAAGCUCCGGGCUCAACCCGGAGAGCCCGUUCAAUACUGCUGAUCUAGAGGAGGCCAGAGGGGANUGGAAUUCCUGGAGUAACGGUAAAAUGCGCAGAUAUCAGGAAGAACACCAGUGGCGAAGNCGGCUCCCUAGGGCCCACCUGACGCUGAGAGACGACAGCUAGGGGAGCGAACAGGAUUAGAGACCCUGGUAGUCCUAGCCGUAAACGAUGGAUGCUAGGUGUAGGGCCGUAGAGGCUCUGUGCCGGAGCGAACGCGAUAAGCAUCCCGCCUGGGGAGUACGGCCGCAAGGCUAAAACUCAAACGAAUUGACGGGGACCCGCACAAGCAGCGGAGCGUGUGGUUUAAUUCGAUGCUACACGAAGAACCUUACCUGGGUUUGACGUGGGCGUGGUAGUGAAGCGAAAGCGGAGCGACCAUUCGGGGAGCGUCCACAGGUGCUGCAUGGCUGUCGUCAGCUCGUGCCGUGAGGUGUCGGGUUAAGUCCCGUAACGAGCGCAACCCUUGCCCUUAGUUACAAGUGUCUAAGGGGACUGCCGGCGGGAAGCCGGAGGAAGGUGGGGAUGACGUCAAGUCAGCAUGGCCCUUAUAUCCAGGGCUACACACACGCUACAAUGGCCGGUACAGAGGGCAGCGAAGCCGCGAGGUGGAGCGAAUCCCAGAAAGCCGGUCGUAGUUCGGAUUGCAGGCUGCAACCCGCCUGCAUGAAGCUGGAGUUGCUAGUAACCGCGCGUCAGCCAUAGUGCGGUGAAUACGUUCCCGGGUCUUGUACACACCGCCCGUCACGUCAUGGGAGUCGGUAACGCCUGAAGCCGGUAGCCUGACCCGCAAGGGAGGGCGCUGUCGAGGGCGGGGCUGGCGAC
rnacentral:rRNA from 1 species